rnacentral:rRNA from 1 species
UAGGGAAUCUUCCGCAAUGGACGAAAGUCUGACGGAGCAACGCCGCGUGAGUGAUGAAGGCUUUCGGGUCGUAAAACUCUGUUGUUAGGGAAGAACAAGUACGAGAGUAACUGCUUGUACCUUGACGGUACCUAACCAGAAAGCCACGGCUAACUACGUGCC